rnacentral:rRNA from 2 species
GUGAAGAAGGCCUUCGGGUUGUAAAGCACUUUCAGUUGUGAGGAAAAGUUAGUAGUUAAUACCUGCUAGCCGUGACGUUAACAACAGAAGAAGCACCGGCUAACUCCGUGCCAGCAGCCGCGGUAAUACGGAGGGUGCGAGCGUUAAUCGGAAUUACUGGGCGUAAAGCGCACGCAGGCGGUUUGUUAAGCUAGAUGUGAAAGCCCCGGGCUCAACCUGGGAUGGUCAUUUAGAACUGGCAGACUAGAGUCUUGGAGAGGGGAGUGGAAUUCCAGGUGUAGCGGUGAAAUGCGUAGAUAUCUGGAGGAACAUCAGUGGCGAAGGCGACUCCCUGGCCAAAGACUGACGCUCAUGUGCGAAAGUGUGGGUAGCGAACAGGAUUAGAUACCCUGGUAGUCCACACCGUAAACGCUGUCUACUAGCUGUGUGUGCCUUUAAGGCGUGCGUAGCGAAGCUAACGCGCUAAGUAGACCGCCUGGGGAGUACGGCCGCAAGGUUAAAACUCAAAUGAAUUGACGGGGGCCCGCACAAGCGGUGGAGCAUGUGGUUUAAUUCGAUGCAACGCGAAGAACCUUACCUACACUUGACAUGCUGAGAAGUUACUAGAGAUAGUUUCGUGCCUUCGGGAACUCAGACACAGGUGCUGCAUGGCUGUCGUCAGCUCGUGUCGUGAGAUGUUG